UACAGAGGGGGCAAGCGUUGUCCGGACUUACUGGGUGUAAAGCGCAUGCAGGUGGCUGUGCAAGUAUGCUGUGAAAGCCCCGUGCUUAACACGGGGAGGCCAGUAUAGACUGCACGGCUCGAGGACUGCAGAGGGUAGGGGAAUUGCUGGUGUAGUGGUGAAAUGCGCAGAUAUCAGGAGGAACACCGGUGGCGAAGGCGGGUCUCUGGACCGAUACUGACGCUGAGGAGCGAAAGCGUGGGGAGCGAACAGG
rnacentral:rRNA from 1 species